AUGUUGCGUUCACUGAUCCGUAUGAUGGCAUGUCCGGCACCACCAGUGACGGCAGGUUCGCUGCUCCGUGUGAUGACGCCUUCCCCGCUCCACGGAGUGCUAGCCUGCGUGUUCGUCGUGCUGAGAGGUCACAGAGGGAAAGGGAGCCUUGGAGCAAUGCCCCGGGGGAUAGAGGCCAGAAUGUUCCAGGUGGAAAAAAUCUGUGCUCCAGGUGGUGACAGCAGUGAAAUCUGGCCACACCAGGGAGUGUCUGCUGCGGGGAGCCUCGGCCAGGCCACCGUCGGGCCUCCCUCCAGCCUGCUGGGCAGUAGCCCCCCUUCCCACGUCCACGCUCCGUGGGCCGCGGGCACUGGCACCCUGGGAGCUGGAGAGAUGCAGCUGGAAGAGCCCGCGCCCGGGGCACGAGGGGUCCCAUGCCAUGUCACGGGCUUGUCCCCAGCUGCCACCGUGCUGAUGGCUUGGCCGCCACUGCUGCUUACUGAGCACACCCGCGUGGGCCCUCGCUGCUGUGCCUUCUGUCGAGGCUCCGGCUCUCUCAUCCCUGAGGGACCCCGGCAUCCCACCUACCCAGGCUCACCAAGACAGGGCCCAUCACCGGUCCUCCGCACUCCUGAGUGUCGCACAGAGCGGGGGUCAGGCCACCUUAGGUUGUUGGGCUAUGGUUUUUGCAGAGUCCUGAGCUCCUGUGAAGAUCUGCUUCUCUCCAGCCUUGGGCUAUCUGCAUUCUUGAACAUCUCCGGGCCCAGAAGGAAAAGAAGAAUGCUGAGCAGCUCAGGGAAUGGCUUGAAUGAAAAGAGCACGUUCCUGGCGGUGGUGACAUCGGUCUGCAAGCAGUCAGCCCGAUAG
rnacentral:lncRNA from 1 species